UACGUAGGGUGCAAGCGUUGUCCGGAAUUAUUGGGCGUAAAGAGCUUGUAGGCGGUUUGUCGCGUCUGCUGUGAAAUUUCGGGGCUCAACCCCGAACUUGCAGUGGGUACGGGCAGACUAGAGUGUGGUAGGGGAGACUGGAAUUCCUGGCGUAGCGGUGAAAUGCGCAGAUAUCAGGAGGAACACCGAUGGCGAAGGCAGGUCUCUGGGCCACUACUGACGCUGAGAAGCGAAAGCAUGGGGAGCGAACAGG
rnacentral:rRNA from 1 species